rnacentral:rRNA from 1 species
UACGGAGGGGGCAAGCGUUGUUCGGAAUUACUGGGCGUAAAGCGCGCGUAGGCGGCGAUGCAAGUCAGAGGUGAAAUGCCCGGGCUCAACCUGGGAGGUGCCUUUGAUACUGUGUUGCUUGGAUCAGGAGAGGUGAGCGGAAUUCCGAGUGUAGAGGUGAAAUUCGUAGAUAUUGGAAGAACACCGAGGGCGAAGGCGGCUACCUC